rnacentral:rRNA from 1 species
GACGAACGCUGGCGGCGUGCUUAACACAUGCAAGUCGAACGGAAAGGCCCCUUUGGGGGUACUCGAGUGGCGAACGGGUGAGUAACACGUGAGUAACCUGCCCUUGACUUCGGGAUAACUUCAGGAAACUGGGGCUAAUACCGGAUAGGAAUCCUUGCUGCAUGGUGGGGGUUGGAAAGCUUCGGCGGUUUUGGAUGGACUCGCGGCUUAUUAGCUUGUUGGUGGGGUAGUGGCUUACCAAGGCUUUGACGGGUAGCCGGCCUGAGAGGGCGACCGGCCACAUUGGGACUGAGAUACGGCCCAGACUCCUACGGGAGGCAGCGGUGGGGAAUAUUGCACAAUGGGCGGAAGCCUGAUGCAGCAACGCCGCGUGCGGGAUGACGGCCUUCGGGUUGUAAACCGCUUUCAGCAGGGGCGAAGCUUGUGGUGACGGUACCUGCAGAAGAAGCACCGGCUAACUACGUG